UACAGAGGGUGCUAGCGUUAAUCGGAUUUACUGGGCGUAAAGCGUGUGUAGGCGGUUCGUUAAGUCGGAUGUGAAAGCCCUGGGCUCAACCUAGGAAUUGCAUUCGAUACUGGCGAGCUAGAGUACGGUAGAGGGCGGCGGAAUUCCGGGUGUAGCGGUGAAAUUCGUAGAUAUCAAGCAGAACACCUGCGGCGAAGGCGGCCUUCUGGACGAUGACUGACGCUGAGACGCGAAAGCGUGGGGAGCAAACAGG
rnacentral:rRNA from 1 species